AUUGAACGCUGGCGGCAUGCCUUACACAUGCAAGUCGAACGGUAACAGGUCUUCGGAUGCUGACGAGUGGCGAACGGGUGAGUAAUACAUCGGAACGUGCCCGAUCGUGGGGGAUAACGCAGCGAAAGCUGUGCUAAUACCGCAUACGAUCUACGGAUGAAAGCGGGGGAUCGCAAGACCUCGCGCGGACGGAGCGGCCGAUGGCAGAUUAGGUAGUUGGUGGGACAAAAGCUUACCAAGCCGACGAUCUGUAGCUGGUCUGAGAGGACGACCAGCCACACUGGGACUGAGACACGGCCCAGACUCCUACGGGAGGCAGCAGUGGGGAAUUUUGGACAAUGGGGGAAACCCUGAUCCAGCCAUGCCGCGUGCAGGAUGAAGGCCUCGGUUGUAAC
rnacentral:rRNA from 1 species